GUUUUCGUUCUCACAAAGACAAGGGAACCUUUUCCCGUUCAGGGGUCGAUUCCUCUUUUCUCCUUUCCAGAGGGCGUUUCUCCCGGGACUGUUAUUUAGCCCUCUUUUUUUUUUUUAUGACUUGAGGAAAAGCGUAACGCUUUUCUCCUUCGCCAGGAUUUCUCGACCUGAAGAAUAGUUUUGAGUUGGCGGAGACUUGGGUGUGGAGGAGUCUCCCCCAACGCAAACUAUUGAAACGGCUAGCAGGAUUUGGUCGCGCGAGAGAAAGGAGAUGACACGAGUGGGGGGGGGAGAGGUGUAACGGUGAAAAGUAAGAGCUGGAGACCUCCAGAAAAGUUGUAAUAACCUCGAAGAGCGGCCGGGUACCGCCUUGGAGAAGACAGGAGCUCGGGGGGACUGUCUAACGGGGCAGUUGACUCUAGAAGGAAGCGAGGUGACUUGUUUCGAACAUUUGUGGACGAAGAAGGUCCACCUGAGGAACCAAACGGUAGUUGAGGACAACCAGUGGGGUAAUGGAGGCUCAAUUUGUUAACGUCUGGAUCUGGAGAAGACAUAACCUGUAAUGAGAAAAAAACACAUUCUCCGGCCCUGGAUCCUGUCCAGAAGUUUAGGGCAGUCUCACGCAGCGCACAUAGAACAAACGUUCAGUCUCAGCACAAUCAUGUGCAUGCAGGUUUUCUAUAAAUGAUCUCAUACCACAUGGCUGGAGGCUGCACAUUGAGUAAAGAGUAAGGACAACGCUUUCCAGUUUGAACGAUUCUGCUGGCUCUGGAAAUACAUUUAUCAUCCAAUAUCAUCAAGUCUAACUCCAAUCAUUAAAUCCACUGAGAGGCAUUCACAAGAAAACUAUAUUUUCUCAGUCUGGAUCCACAAACAAAACAAAUACUCUGUUAUCUUCAGCAUAGACUUUGAAAAAUCAAGAGUGCAUAUUUGUAUCCUAUUUCAUUAUGUGAUUUACUAAAAUGGAUAGUAUUUUCA